rnacentral:misc_RNA from 1 species
AAGUCGUAACAAGGUUUCCGUAGGUGAACCUGCGGAAGGAUCAUUAACGAAUAACUAUGGUGUCUUGGCUGUCGCUGGCUCCUCGGAGCAUCGUGCACGCCCGCCAUUUUUAUCUAUCCACCUGUGCACCGAAUGUAGGUCUGGAUGACUCUCGUCUCCGGGCGGAUGCGAGGUUUGCGUGUGCGUUGCGUACGGGCUCACCUCGAAUUUCCAGACUCUACGUCUUUUUACACACCCCAAACGUAUGAUGCAGAAUGUAGUCAAUGGGCCUUUAAAAGCCUAUCAAACACUAUACAACUUUCAGCAACGGAUCUCUUGGCUCUC